UGAUUUGUGCUUUUUCAUUAUUUUUUUUCUUUCUUCUUUUUUCUUUUUUUUGUGGUGGUGGUGUUUGUUUUUUUCUUUCUUUUUUUCCCCACAAUUAUUUUCACUGGCCAGUAAACAAGGCAAGGGACACGCUCCGUUUCAGGGCUUCCUCACACAGCAGACAGGCAGAGUAAUUCUCUCCUGCUUUUAAACACAGCCAGUCCAGCUAAGAAACAGGAAGAAAGCUCUUUUGGUCGGCAGAGCCCUUCCCCAGCAAAUGUCUCCCCUGGAUCUGUUCUAUUAAGCCCUUGGGAGCUUGGAAACACUUUUCAGGUGUAAAAAUAGUGCCUGCAAAGUCAGCAGUCAAUCCCUGCUCUUGGACAGGUUGUAUGGCAGGGGAUUUUUUUGCUGUAUUUAAUCCCCCAGACCAGUUCCAAACUCUAUUCAAGGAAACAGGGACUCUCCCUGGCCAUCCCGGUGCAUGAAAUACCCAACAAUAUUCCACCUGAGCCAUGGCAGGGAGGAAACUGCAGAAAACAGAUUUCCUGGUAAAUUGAGCUCAGAUCCACAUUACAGAAACGAUCCCAAGCAGCAGCGAUGCUGAAAAACCCCCGGGACCCCAAAAAGCCUGCCACCCUGGGAGCCUGCCCUGGGGUAUCCCCAAGCCCCCUCUCAGCCCCUGUUCUCCCUGCAGACUCCCCAGUGACCCCAUCCUGACUGACUGCAGUGUUUUUGGGUUAAAGUCAGGAGGCUAUUCGCUGAGGCACAGGCUGGAGGGAGGUUUUGCUCAUCUGGAAAGCGCUCCCAGGUUUCCUAAGGGUCCUUUUUGUUCUCCAUCAGGUCACUGUAUGCAAGGAGGAGGCUGGUGGGCAAAGGGGUAUUUGCCAGGGGUGCCCAGGAGUCAUUACUGGUCUACUUGGGGUGGACAUAAUCAGCAAUUCCCAAAGAGGACCCUCUGUCCCAGCACUUCCACCCCAAACCCUGAGGUUUAGCAACACUCCUAAUAUCCCCUCCAGAACCUCUCGCACAAAAAGUUCCCACUUCAGUAAAUCAGCAUUCUCUGACAAAACAAAACAAAACAAAACAAAACAAAACAAAACAAGCUAUUUCUCCAGAAAAUUCUCAGUUGUCUCAACCGCUAAUAGCCCAUGCUAGUUGAAUGCCCCAGGGACUUAUCACUUUGUUAUGUUCCUGGCACCACUUUUCCAUGGAACUUGCAAAUUGUUGUUUGCCCAGCUCUGCCUCUAACAGAUCAGGAGAAAUUCUGGCUACUGCAGCAGAGGAAAAUAGCAGAGUGUGUCCACUUUUGCUACUUCAGAGUUGUUCAACCAGAAAAUAAUGAAGAGAGAAUUGUUUUUCCUUGGCUACGCAGUGUAAGUUAUUGGUGAAUAAAUAAGCCCAGAGGCCAGGGGAUGAAGUAUUUAUUGAUUUGUGCAGUGUUUAUUUCUGAGUUAAUUUGCAACCCACAUAAAGAGAGAAAGAAAUCGCUGUGAUAAAUAUAAAAUAUGCUUUAUAUUGUGCAUAUUAUGAAAAGAGCUUCAAUAAAAAGAUUAUUACAUCUUUCUAUGGGGUGUUCACUGGGUUUGCCUGUUUUCAGAUCUGACAGUAUAAUGUGAUCAAAUCUUAGCAGUCGCAAGGCAGCCCCACACAGUUUUUAUACUUUGCUUUAAAGCACAGAGAUGCCAUUCUGCAAAGCUGAAAUUUAGUGGGAGAAGGAGAUGCAGGAGACAUAAAAGGAGAUGAAGGAGAUGUAAAAAAUGCACUAUCUCAACUCCUUCGGAGAUGAAAUAAUAGUCCCUUCUAGCUAUGUAUAGGUGUCUGGAUGGGAUUCCUCUAUGUACAGCAAGCUCACAUUGCCAUCUCCUCAAAUUUUCAGCGACUCAGAGAUGACAAGGCUUAAUACAGGAGACGGCUAUGCUCUGACAACUCCAUCUGACUGCACUGUCUGCCACGGGUCCCCAGCUAAUUAACUAUUGAUCUAAACUUUUGAGAUUUUAUUAGAAUCUUCUGGAUGUCACAUUAUUGCUAAUAAGGCUUUAACAUACAGCGGAGAGAGAAGAUGAAAUGUCCAAAAUGAUAAUUUCUCAAGAAGCAUUACCCCGUUCGCAAGGCAGCCUGUGGGUGUGUACGUGCUAGCUCCGUGCGUGCUUGCAGAGAGCACUGGCUGGUUCAGCUGCUUCGCAGGAGCCCCAGGACACUGCAGGCCCUGGCUCCUGGUGUUAAAGUCUUUGGACCCGAUGUUACAAGACCUUUUAUCUGCCUGUAAACUAGCCAGCAGCUUGCUAAACGGAUCCCGUGAGUACAAGCAUUGCACGGCAGCAGGGCGCAGGAGGGAGGAGCACCAGGCUGGGUUUCCUGCAGCACACGCAGAGGUUCAGCAGAAGAUCUCAGCAGGCAUCUCCCAUCUGAGGCUGCAUGUGCCAGAGGCUGUUCUUCUUUGGCACAGAGCAGCAACAUGAAGGAGGAAGAGAGGAACCAAACCUCUGAUCGCCGAGGGGACCACGCUGGCUCCAGCACAAGGCACUCUGAGCAGUUCCUUUGGCCUGUUUCCCACUCUGAACUCCCAGCUGGUUUAAAAGAAGGAACAUGCUGUAUGUGGUAGACGCUGGAGUUGUCUUCAUUAUCUGCAAGGAGCAUCCCCAUGGCCAUGCUCAUGCCCAGCCUUGCUGCUCUGGCUGGAGAGGUCCUUGUCCAGCAGCAGAGGCACUGUGGAGAUGGCAGGGACAUGGCACACAUGGCACCACUCCUCAGGAUACUCAGCAAACCUCGCUUUAAAAGUGGAGUGAGCGCAACUUACAGGAUAAAGGUACUAGUGGUGGGGAAAUUCAGCAGUAUUUUCCUGGAGGUGAACACUGACGUGAUUGCCUGGCUGGUGUCACAUCCAGAGCUGCCUCUCCACCUUCUCAGAGCCUUCCUUUGGCUGGUGAGAUGGGUUUCAGGAGCUGACAUAUAUACACGAGGAAUGAACCUCUCCAGCCUGUGCUCAUUUUCCUGUUUAAAUCAGCGUGUUUUACCAUAGCAACUACCAAAGAAGGAUUCAGCAAUGUUUGAGCAAACAAACACCUAUUAAAGAUCCCUUCUGAAAUAUUUAUGCUUUGUUCCCCAAAGCCCACUAAGUGCAUUGAUGGAGCAGCUCAGCACGGUGCUGCGUGGAACCAGGAGUGUCAGGAGAGCCUUUUCUCAGCUGCCUGGCAAAGUGGAAAAAACAUUUUUCAGCAGACUGUUUAUCAGCUCCGGAGUUUAACCAGAUCCACACAGCAUGAUUGAGGGACUGAGAGAAGGAACCCACUCCAUCAGAGGCCAGGACAUCCUCAUCCUUCCUUCGCAAUGAGGGUAGAAGCUGCAGACAGCCUUGAAGACUGGCUGCAAAUUCCAAAAUGUCCGGUUUUCAAACAUCUUUGAAGAAUUCACCCCAAAGUCUAAUGAAACACUUUUUGCCAAAAUUUGUCAUUUUUGUACUGAAGUUUAUAAUGAACUGAAAGAGAUGAGAAAUGCAAGAGGAGUUUGUGGGAUGGGAACUGGAAGGUGUUCAGGAAAGGGAACGCAGCUUACACAGUAUAAUAGGAAAAUCAAACCUAAGGAGAUGGAGGAUGUCAUGACAUAAACACUUGCUUCAACAGUGAAGGCAGACACUUGUCCACCUCUCUCUUUGCAGCCUCUUCAGUGCUGCAGAGGUAACCAGAGGCUGUUCUAACAGCCCUGAAAGCUGUUCAGGAGCAUCCUCCUUCAAACAGGACCAAGGAAUUGAGGUGGAGACCAUGGAGGGAAGGCGAGACUUUUUAAACAGAUUUUAUUGCUGUGCAACAGCAAUCUGAGAAGGCAAUUUGUAUCUCUCACCACUCACCAUUCAGCAUCCAGAACCUGCAGAAUGGCCUCGUGGCCUCUUGUUGUCCAGAAAAGCCAAACACCGAGGGCUGUAUGGGUACAUGCUCUCCUGGUGUGUGUUUUCCUCCCUCAGGAAGCAAAUCAGAUGGCCUGUUCCUGAAAACACUCUCCCCAAAAACCUCAGCGCUGCAGGCAUGUGCUGACAUUUGACAUGUCCCUUGUUUGUCGUUUGUGCCAAGUAUCACUUCCUCGGCGAAGACAGAACUGCUCGAAGGAGGGCCAUAAACCAGAAUGAAACAACUCUGCCGAAGAAAAGUUGUUUAUAAUUGUGUAUUCCCAGAGUUGUCAGCCAGCUCUUAUGAGUAAAUGUUGUUUUACAACUGAAAAAAUUGUGUGAGCCUGCAGCUAUUACUGUUGUUGCCUGGGGUGAGUUUUCUGCAUAAAUCAAGUUAGCAAGAAAAUUGUGUACCAUUACACUGACGGGAAGGUUUAAAACACUUGAGGUAUUUAAACUGAACUGUGGGCCUUGUCAAAACCACCAGAAACUACAACAAGCAUGGAGUUGUACCAGCUCCCCUCCACUGAGGCUCUUCCAUUUGCAGCUUCUGGGAUCACCGCAUGUUUGAAGAGAACGGCCAGUGUGAGAAGAGACGUGCACAUUUGUAUUUUAUCUCAUUUGGUAGUUGAUGGAUCUGUGGGGAGUUGGGUACUGAGGAAAUAGUGCCUGUUUUCCCAAAUAUUUUCAUUUGAAAAGGAGCAACGUAGUUACACUGCUAAGAAGCGUAUGCCAGAGCACUGCAGGAAAAGGGGCCGCCGAAAGCAUCGUGCAUUGCUCCUAGACGCAGAAGGAGGGACUGGGAACAACUGAUGGAGCAAACAUCUUGGAGGGCGUCAGCUUCGCCGGUGGGACCUGCGUCAGUCCAGGCGUGCAGACUAGAUAGAUACAGAGAAGACGACUGUUCUGCCUGUGCAAAGACAACAUACACAUGGUCAAAGUAUUUCAAACAUCCUCCAGCGCAGGAAGCAAGGGAAUAAAAAGCAAUGCAAGCAGAGGAAUUAAAAUCAGGCAAUACUUUGAUAUACAUUUAAACUGGUAUUGUCAUCAAAGUCCUGGCAUCUUUCAACCCAGAUUGGCUCUCUUGCAUGCAUCCCAGAUCUGCUUUGCAGGCACAAACACCUGUGUGCCCAUGGGAUGGAUCCCAGAGAGGUGUUCCCAGGAGAGGCUCACAGUAGGUAUUUCAGGCGGGCUGCUUGCCUCCCCGCCGUGCUGGGUCACCUGCACCUGCUCAUGGCUCCACUGUGGAGCAGAGCGGGUGCCACGGUGGCCCUGGUGGGUGUCCUGGGUCUGGGGUGGCAGCGGCAGCUUUUUGCUGCCACCUUAAACACAGAGCCAAGAUAAAGAGCUUGUUUUGCUCUUAAGGCACAUCUCCCCUCCACAGCUCAUUUGCUGUGCCUAGGUACACAAAGAGAAUAUGUAUUUUUAACAGGAUGCCACGGGAUAUGACAGCUAACUCUGGCCACAUUAACGUAGGUACAUAGCUUCUUGGACAAGCACAUCUCCUUGGAAUAUAUUAUCUAAUCUGCAUUCAGGAUUACAACAUGCUGUGAAGACAAAGACAACACUGAAGGAAAACCAGGAAGGAUUCCUGUAAGAUUUAUUUCAGUGUAGUAGAGGUCUCAGUCCUUUCAAUCCCCACUGCCAAAAAAUAGCAGCAAAAGGUUUGGCAUCUGACCUCCUAAAACUGCUUGAAAUUUAUCAUUUUUCAGCCCUAAGAGCUCUAAUAUUUAAUUGUGAGUUGUGUCUUUACAGAACAGGAGAUGAGUCGAGCAGAAAUGAAAUGUGCUGCACCAGGCACCUGCCUGAGCCGCAGGGUCCAGCAUCACCCACAGCGAGGAGCCUCCAAGCUCUGGCUCCAGCACAGCAGAGAUUUUUGAGUCAAGCUUCGGGAAGGAAAGGCCAAUCGCUGGACCAGUUCAGCCACCUGGGGCCUGUACAAAAGCCCGGUGACAAGGACAUGCCACUGCCAGGGGAGACCUUCGAGAGCCGGAGAACCACACUGCGGCAGCCGUGGGCUCAACCUGCUCUCGGAUAAUAGAGCACAUUUUUUGCAGUUUGUUCAGGGCAGUAAAGCCCCCUGAAGGGCUAUUCAGUGACUGACAUCAAUGAGUGCAGGGGAUAAAUAAUAGCAAACUGCCACUUUGUUUUCUGGUGUUGGAAGGAGAUGAAGAGGGAGCGUUAUGUGACCGUUUAACCUAAAUGAUGCGAAGCCGGCUGUGCUCGCCUGCAGAGCCCUGUUUGUUUAUCCAGCGAUGCUAUGCACAAGUAUUUGGCAGGCUUUUCUCAAACUAUUCCAAGAAGUUUUUCCUUAAACAAGAGAGCCCCGCUGUCCUUUGCAAUGUUCUCUAAUGCAAGCAUUCAUAGGGUUUCUCCAAUGAAAGUUAUUACAAACCACCCAGACUCCCAGCAUGGAGAAAUAACGAGGAAGAGGCACUGUCAUAUUUCAUGUAUUUUUAAUUGCAUUGCAUUUGCUGGUGCUGCCUUCUCCCAUGAACUCAGGCACGAUGACCAAGGAGAGGUAAGUGCCACCAGGAGCCCUGAUGGCAGCAGGGGACAGCCCCCGGCAGCACGCACCCACACCACACGUGGGUCACAUCACACAACGCAGGGGCCAGGAGGUGGCCAAGGGGCAGCCCAUAUGCACACAUAUGCACUCCCUUAACCUCUACAAUGACAGCUUCCUGAAACGUCUAGGGAUCACACCCACACAUCCAGAAGGUUGUAUAUUUUGUCCAUUGACAAAGAUGUGAGUGAAACCAGUCCACACACCCAAAUGAAUCCACACAGGCCAUUACUAAAGGACAGAAAUACCCCAUGAAAGGUGAAGGAACACUUCUCACAGGCCAUUUAUUCUCCUACUGAUUUUCCACAGAACACUGAAAAUUGCUUCAGCAGACAAGGGUGGGAACUAUUUUAACAGUCCCUGGUAUUAAAAACCAGGGACUCAGCAGAGGUUUUUAUGGCACACUACAGCUAUUGCCACCCCUCAUCGCCAGCUCCAUCCUCUUCAGACAUUAGCACCUUACUUCUAAGCAGGAAGCCAAUAUUUCCCUCUUCCCUGUGCCCCACCAGCCCUUUCUCUUCUCCUGACCUGUUGGUUAAGUUAAACUCAGAGCCACUUGACCUCAGCCUGCAUAUAGCAUGAAGUUUGCUCUUUCUCUUCCAGACUUGACACUUCCAGACACUGUGCACCCAAGUGUUCAUCGGCCUUUCUUUUCCCAUUAUAUCAAUGUAAUACAAGUUACCAUUUUUCCUCUGUCAGCUCCAUCUCCCUCAUACCCUUGAUCAUCAACGUUACCUGCAAAGACUUUAUUAUUCAUGCCUUGAUUUUUUAGUAUCAUCAAGUUCCAGCGUUUCUUUCCUAAAUAUUAUAUAGCACAAUUUAUGCCAUCAGUGGACAAGGCUGAUUCUUUGCUAGGGGACUGCCAGCUGUGUGCUCAUACUGUCCAUAAGGCAGGCUAUGCAAGUUCUGGCUCAAUGUCAGCUUAAUGCCAUGAUGUGAUUCCCAAACUGGAGCUGUUUUACCUCUGGUCCCUAGACCAGCCAGCAGAAGAUGCCCUUACACAGGGCAGCUGAUUCCAAAUCUAAACUGAAAUGUUCUUAAUUUGCUCAUCACAUUAAGUCACUUUGUAUGUGCCCCAGACUGAGGUGACAAAGGGGACAGUUUGGUAGGCAGAAUUUUUAACUUUCCUUAGUUAAGAACUGCAGCUAAAAGAUUUUAUUUUAUUUUUUUCCUAGCAAUAAUGAGGAUAAGAUUAGAGAGUUCCCAAGGCACAAAAUGAAAUUUAGCACCAGAAAGCCCCAGGAGAAUAAAUGGGUGAUUGCAAGCAGCCAACCUGAAUUAUGCUCUAAGACAACAUAAUUUCUGAAGCAUUAGCAGGAGCUAAUUCUGGACCUUCUCCAGGUGAAGACAGACUUUCGCAGGAGGUAGGCAAUCCCUUGGCCCAUAGGCAAGGGGAAAGGUGAAGUCCUGAGUUGAUGGGCAUGGUUUGUAAUCACACAUUUCAACUUAUUUUUCUGGAUCUCAUGAUCUGAAAUGUCAUUUCCAUUUCAUGGUACACAGCAGUUGGCAUUGGCUAUAGUCUGGCUCACCCUAGUGGUCUGAAGUUUAAUGAGAUGUAUGUAAUGCUCUUUAAUAGCUUUGGGUGAUUUAAGUAUUAAGGAAAAGUCAUCCGAUCACUUGUGAGCAGUUAAAUUAAAAGCAAACUGGAUUUUGCUAACUAUGGUGUGUUUCUAGGUGAUAAAUGCUUUUUAACAAAUCUCAUAAAAUGUCCUCUCUGCUGCCCUGAAUGUAAUUUGGAUUUUUAUGGUAUUUUUUUUAUAGUUCCUCAAAUAAUUUCAUCAGCAUAAAGACUCCUCCUGGAUGGAAAUUUAAUAAAAAGCUGAAUUGUUGUGAAAGGUAUGAGCAUGACCUACUCUUGCCCACUCUUAUUCCCAGACCUUGUAAAUGUAUUCCUAACAGUCUGAAAGUUAAUAAUUAAUAAAUGCAAGAAAUUACUUGGAAA